CCCUUAGAUGUUCUGGGCCGCACGCGUGCUACACUGAGUAAUUCAAUGGGUAAGGGAACGCUAGAGCAUUACCUAAUCUUGAAAUUUGCUCGUGAUGGGGAUCGACGGUUGCAAUUUUCCGUCGUGAACGAGGAAUACCUUGUAGGCGCAUGUCAUCAUCAUGCGCCGGAUACGUCCCUGCCCUUUGUACACACCGCCCGUCGCUCCUACCGAUUGAGUGAUCCGGUGAGGCUCUGGGACCUGGACGGAAAGAGCGUUUCGCUUGUUCUGUUUGGGAAACUUGGUCGAACCUUAUCAUUUAGAGGAAGGAGAAGUCGUAACA
rnacentral:rRNA from 1 species